rnacentral:rRNA from 1 species
GUGGGGAAUAUUGGACAAUGGGCGAAAGCCUGAUCCAGCCAUGCCGCGUGUGUGAAGAAGGUCUUCGGAUUGUAAAGCACUUUAAGUUGGGAGGAAGGGCAGUAAGUUAAUACCUUGCUGUUUUGACGUUACCGACAGAAUAAGCACCGGCUAACUUCGUGCCAGCAGCCGCGGUAAUACGAAGGGUGCAAGCGUUAAUCGGAAUUACUGGGCGUAAAGCGCGCGUAGGUGGUUUUGUAAGUUGGAGGUGAAAUCCCCGGGCUCAACCUGGGAACUGCCUCCAAAACUGCAUGACUAGAGUACGGUAGAGAGUAGUGGAAUUUCCUGUGUAGCGGUGAAAUGCGUAGAUAUAGGAAGGAACACCAGUGGCGAAGGCGACUACCUGGACUGAUACUGACACUGAGGUGCGAAAGCGUGGGGAGCAAACAGGAUUAGAUACCCGAGUAGUCC